GUGUCAGCAGCCGCGGUAAUACAGAGGGUGCGAGCGUUAAUCGGAAUUACUGGGCGUAAAGCGCACGUAGUCGGCUUGCCAAGUCGGGUGUGAAAUCCCCGGGCUCAACCUGGGAACUGCAUCCGAAACUGGCUUGCUAGAGUAUGGGAGAGGGAGGCGGAAUUUCUGGUGUAGCAGUGAAAUGCGUAGAUAUCAGAAGGAACAUCAGUGGCGAAGGCGGCCUCCUGGACCAAUACUGACGAUCAGGUGCGAAAGCGUGGGGAGCAAACAGGAUUAGAAACCCUCGUAGUCC
rnacentral:rRNA from 1 species